UAACUUUGAGCGGUGGAUCACUCCGCUCGUGCGUCAAUGAA
rnacentral:rRNA from 1 species